GGUUCUAUGGUGUAAUGGUUAGCACUCUGGACUUUGAAUCCAGCGAUCUGAGAUCAAAUCUCGGUAGGACCA
rnacentral:tRNA from 1 species